CGUGUAGGCGGCCAGAUAAGUGAGAUGUGAAAGGCCUCGGCUCACCCGAGGACGUGCAUCUCAUACUGUUUGGCUUGAGUACGGGAGAGGAUGGGGGAAUUCCUGGUGUAGCGGUGAAAUGCGUAGAUAUCAGGAGGAACACCAGUGGCGAAGGCGCCCAUCUGGCCCGAUACUGACGCUGAGGCGCGAAAGCUAGGGGAGCGAACG
rnacentral:rRNA from 1 species